GUCAUAUUCUCCUAAAGAAGUGUUGCUUCCUCCACAUUCCAGGCUUGCAGUAAUAUAUACCCACCUGAUAAGUGGACCAUGAAGACUCUUUCUGCUUGAUUCCUACUAAGCAGAGACUCAUUACUUUCCACACCUGACAUUUUAAGUAGUAGCCCUGGGGUGCCGCUCCCCCUUGUUCCUGUGCAUCUCUGAGCUUUUCAUGAUCAGCUAAACUUCCACAUUCUUUUACUAUAACUGGCUUGGGAAUGGGGGAGAAAUAAUCUUCCAAAGAGGAACACAAGGAAAAGCAUUUGAUUUCUACUCUCCAAAUAUUUGGUGAGAUUUGGGAAGCAACCAGGAAUGUGAGCUUCAAAAAAUUGGGCGAUUCCUCCAAGGUGGAAGUCUUUUGGCACACUGAAUCUUUUGGUCCACCGGCUUCUUGAGAAGCCUUUAAGGCCAACCGAUCCCCAGAACAAGAUCUCUCUUGGGCUUCACUGCGAGUUAUUCUUUGGAAAAUGCACUUCUGAAUUCACUUUUUGUAUUGUCUCAGGAAAAUCCUGUUUGUGAAAAUGCCUCAUGGUAUCUCCCUGAAUCUGAAGAAGUAAAGAGAAAGACUGUUUGCUUUGAUGUAAUCAGAUUCUCUGGAAUUUAAUCCUAUAUCCUAUUUAUGGCUGAGCUAGCCAUUCAAAAUUAAAAUGAACCUUUCAUCCAUGUGUAUCAUAAAUGGGCAUUUAUCAGGAUUAUAUGAUUUUGCAAUCCAUCUGAAUACGUAACCAGAAUUUGUUUUCUUUCCAUUUCACUAUGUAAUUACCAUGCAACAAUAACAAAAGUGACAUGUUUGAAGAACAGAUAAAAUGCUGUAAAUUGGCCAGUAAUGGUGAUAUUUCCUCAUCUUCUCAAAAACCCAUUUAUUCUCUCUCUCAACAAAUCAAGGCAUUGUCAGCCCAUACUCAUCUUGUGGCCAGAGGGGCUCCACCAAUUUCUGGAUGUAAGUGAGUCCUGGAAUGCAGAUGAGGCCGACUAACGAAAGCUUUCAGUGCAGGCAGCUGGUCUUUGCUUGCCUCAAUUUUUAAAUCAUCCAUAAUGGGGCCAAGACCUCCCAAGCACUAAAAAGAGCGAGCUGACAUGCUGGAUAAACUGUUAAUUUUUUCCUGAAGAAGCUGCUAUAUUGCACAUCUGUCACUGCAGUGCAGACAAUUACUCACUGAGUCAGGGAAAAAAAUCUGCCGCUUGUUUCUAGCUGAGUUGUUAAGGGACUUAAUGGAGAAAUACAAUGGCGUGGGAGUCAAAACAUGCUGCUUUCCCAUGUGCUUGGCAAUUGUUCCCUCCUUUUGGAAGACUGUCUUGUAAUAUUAAAACAUGUGAAGUAGACUAAGAUGUGUGUUUAGAAAAACAGCAAAGGAAUUAGAAGAGGUACAAUAAAAGGACAGGCAUAUAAAGAUGUGGGACGAUCAAGAAUCUAGCCUUACAGAUUACAGGCCACUGUACUUAUUGCUGAGAACGUAACAACGCUGUGGCCAGUGUAUUAGAAAUAUUGUGAUUUUUCACAUUAUAAAUUUCAAACUUUUAAUAUAUAUUCCCCAAGUGCUUCACAACCAUCUAAAAAUUAUUUUAUGAAUUUCAUGCCUCGUAUAUGCAAUGUGGAUCAUCUAUACUGUUUCCAUAAUGAAUUACAGCCAUCAAUGAGACACUUUAGAAUCCCAGAUUUGUCAGUCAUCUAACAGAACUUUAGUUGUUUUUUUCUUCGCUAAAUCAUUUGCAUGUCAUACAUAUGAAAUCCUGG
rnacentral:lncRNA from 1 species